GUGGUUCACCAUGCAGUCUUUGGGUUUAACAGAUCCUUUAGCCUCUAAAACUUGUCUCUAUAGAGAUUACAGGUAUGAUAAUAUAAGUUGGAAUAUAAUAUAUUACAGACAAUAACAUAUCAUGUAUUUACAAAAUGAAGCUUGAUUUUAUUAUUGAUAUCAGGCUUGCAACCAAGUAACCAAAAAUGAUAUGGAAAAUGAUAUUAGCAUUACUACAUAAAGAUGUUUGAGCUUCUGCAUUCUCCAUUCAGCCUGUCAAUCCUCCGUAUUCUCUCAAUUUGCAUCUGCACACCUGUCUACCUAACCUCUCCUGACCUAUAUGACCUCUCCUGACCUAUAUGACCUCUCCAGACGUAUAUAAACUCUCCUGACCUAUAUCACCUGAACUACCUGACAAACUGUCCUGAUUUAUAUAACCUGUCCUGAUUUAUAUAACCUGUCCUGACCUAUAUAACCUGUCCUGAUUUAUAUAACCUGUCCUGAUUUAUAUAACCUGUCCUGACCUAAAUAACCUGUCCUGAUUUAUAUAAACUGUCCUGAUUUAUAUAACCUGUCCUGACCUAAAUAACCUGUCCUGAUUUAUAUAACCUGUCCUGACCUAUAUAACCUGUCCUGGUUUAAAUAACCUGUCCUGACCUAAAUAACCUGUCCUGAUCUAUAUAACCUCUCCUGAUCUAUAUAACCUGUCUUGAUUUAUAUAACCUGUCCUGAUCUAUUCAUUUCAUUGGAUGCAAUAAUAGUAUAGACAUACAAAGUCUACAGUGCUGAAGAUGAUGACAUCAUCUAAAUAGAGCUAUGUGAAGAAUGUUCUGCAUUAUAUUUACAGAAAAUGCCUAUGAUAUUUGUGCAGUAAUAGUGAAAAUAUAGCAUUUAGAAACAAUGUUUUGGGUCCAUACAAAAUUACAUUUUGAUCUGAUUAGACUCUUGUUGUCAAGUUGGAAAGCGGGCAAUUCGUCUGUCACUUCCUGGUGGAUUUCUACUACAAAGUUUAGUCAAUUUCUGUUCAUGUGAGAAAACAAGCAAUAUAUAGGGCAGGGAACCAUUGUGCCAUAAAAAAUAUAGUUUUUACAGCUUUUUAAAGCAGGUGGACAGAAGUGAAUGUAAAACACUGAAGUGUCAGGUGACAACGUUAUUCCAAACGGCAACUGAUGUUGCCGCAAGUCACCAAGCUUGGACAUGGGGAAUCAUUUCUACACACAGCUCGUUUCAGACGCCAACAGUCAGCUUAGGCAGGAGUCCUGAUGUGGAUGGCUGGAGAGGCAUCGGGCAGACAUCCACUAGUCCGGAGGAGGACAGGCCCAUGACGGGGGCAGGUGGGUCACAUGGGGUAGAACUGUGAGGCCGCCUCCGAUGACUGGAUCUCCACCUGGGCCAUCUUGAACUGGGUGCACUGCAGCCACUUGCGCAGGGCGAAGGGCAGGGCACCGGCUGCCUGACCCUGUACACACUGGUGGUUCUGGUGGUUGACCCGGUUCUGGAUGGCCUGCAGACGCAGCUGGAGCCCCGCAGAAAGGUGCUGCAUGGGACAGUGGUGGGACACGGGAGACAGGUUAUGGGACAGUGGUGGGACAUGGAAGACAGGUUAUGGGACAGUGGUGGGACAUGGAAGACAGGUUAUGGGACAGUGGUGGGACAUGGAAGACAGGUUAUGGGACAGUGGUGGGACAUGGAAGACAGGUUAUGUAACUUCAUUGUGUAGGGUUAUUCAGAAUUUGAAACAAUCAGUCUUCUUACCUUUAAAUUUGACUGAAUCAUGGGCAACCACAUGGGAAUUAGCUGAUGGAGAGAGGAGAUUAAUUAUUUCGUAACUAGCAAACACAAAUAGUCAAAUUGUUUUGCGUAAAUUCAUGGCAAAUGACAUACAUGUUUGGGGAAAUGCCCACGUACCUUCACGAAGAUGGUUGAGUUGCAUUCUUGUAGUGCCUCCAUCAGGCUGAUAACAUGAAGACAAACCAUCUCCACCAUC
ensembl:lncRNA